rnacentral:lncRNA from 1 species
AUAGAGUUCUCUUCUGUGUUAACAGCAAAAGGGAAGUUAAUGUAAUAUAAUAAGUGCAUGAGUUUAAAAUAGUCAUGGUUCUGUUAGAUUUACCAGAGAGUUCAAGGUAGCGGAUGAUAGUUUGAAGGUCACCUGCACUCUCCGUUGUAGUUUUUGGAAUUACUUUUGAAGAAAAAUGAAAGUCUAGAGCAUCCAAACAGUGCCCAUCUGAGUUCUCCCACCGCAGAAAGAACUAGAAGAGAGUUCUUGAGGAACAGAGGGAUCAUCAAAGAUUCAGAAUGGUUCUACAGGGUGAGUGACUCAGGGCGCAGAACUGCUGUGGUCAUUCUUUCCUGCCUCUACCUGCACUGUACUGGC